GACCGUGUAGCUCAGUUGGCAGAGCAUUGGGCUAGUAUUCCAAAAGUCGUAGGUUCGAUUCCCACCGUGGCCA